UCUCCUGGAAAACGGGUGGUAAUGCCGGAUGCUCCAGUUGAUCGCAUGGUCUUCUGGGAAAGCUUUCGCGGUAUGGGAUGGGGUCGCGUCCUAUCAGCUUGACGGCGGGGUAACGGCCCACCGUGGCUUCGACGGGUAGCCGGCCUGAGAGGGCGACCGGCCACAUUGGGACUGAGAUACGGCCCAGACUCCUACGGGAGGCAGCAGUGGGGAAUAUUGCACAAUGGGCGCAAGCCUGAUGCAGCGACGCCGCGUGAGGGAUGGAGGCCUUCGGGUUGUAAACCUCUUUUAUCGGGGAGCAAGCGAGAGUGAGUUUACCCGUUGAAUAAGCACCGGCUAACUACGUGCCAGCAGCCGCGGUAAUACGUAGGGUGCAAGCGUUAUCCGGAAUUAUUGGGCGUAAAGGGCUCGUAGGCGGUUCGUCGCGUCCGGUGUGAAAGUCCAUCGCUUAACGGUGGAUCCGCGCCGGGUACGGGCGGGCUUGAGUGCGGUAGGGGAGACUGGAAUUCCCGGUGUAACGGUGGAAUGUGUAGAUAUCGGAAAAGAAACACC
rnacentral:rRNA from 2 species